GCUUGCCAACGUCAGUGCGUACGAAAUGCAUCUCCAUAACGUUUCAAGGGAUCGUGGAAGCGCCUUUAUAGCAGGAUAGCGAAGGCUCAAGCCGCGUAGGCAGCCCCGGGAGCUCAAGCCCAUCCCUAAUCAGCCUGAGCUCUUCGCCGCUUCACGAGACACCAAAUCCCGAGGCCCGAAGCAUCAAGUAGUCGAAUCCCCGUGCAACGAGGCUGCAGUGACCCAUGCACGACCAGACACCCCGGACGUGACCAAAGAUAAGUACCUCAUCGACCCGACUUGCAUGGCGUUGUCCAGGGCCCUCUUGCCUAUGUAAUCCCCUAACCUGACGAACAACCUUGUCUUAUCCGGCUUUGUUAUCGAAUCUUCUCAGGGAUUUUCUCCGUGCUACGGGUGCCCUGCCUGACCUUGCACGGCCCGAGGGAAGCCGGACGAGGAAAACGUCUCCCCGACGGGACACCAACGCCGAAAUCGAGGGCCGAGAUCAGAGAGAAGACAAGGUCAGCAAACAAGCAAUCCACGAGGACAAAAGAGCAACAGCAACAAUUCACGACGGGCCAAGCGACCGCCUCGACCAGUCAGCGCCCGCCACGUCACCCACACGAAACUGUUAUCAUUACAGCUGGGAAACUGCAGCUGUUGGUCAUGCUGCUUCCAUUCCUUUCACGGCUCCCUUGUCAUUCAUCAUUAUUCUUCAUCCUCGUUAAUCAUGUGCGUAGCUAUCGUACUAGGAAUCGAAGCGAAGAAGGAAUUUGAAGAUGUUGAGAUUCACACACUCACACACACACACACACUCACACACACACACACACACACACACACACACACACACACACA
rnacentral:lncRNA from 1 species